CUGCCCCUCCUUCAUCCGGGUGACGUAGUCCUUGAGGCUGGUGAGCUCGUCGCCGCUCUUUGUCGAGUGGUAGCGGAGCAGGUCGGCGAGCUUGGCGCGGUUCUGCGAGUCCUCAUGCACGCCCAGCUUGAGGUUCUUGGAGAAGGCCUCGUAGAACUUUGCGUAGUCCUCCUUGUUCUCUGCGAUCUCGAAGAAGAGCUCGAUGCACUUCUUGACGAGGUUCUUGCGGAUGACCUUGAGGAUCUUGUUCUGCUGCAGCGUCUCGCGGGAGAUGUUGAGGGGGAGGUCGUCCGAGUCGACGACGCCCUUGACGAAGCCCAGCCACUCCGGGAUGAGCUCCUCGCAGUUGUCCAUGAUGAAGACGCGGCGCACGUAGAGCUUGAUGUUGUUCAUCUUCUUGCGGGUGUCGAAGAGGUCGAAGGGCGCGCGGCGGGGCACGAAGAGCACCGCCUUGAACUCCAGCUGCCCCUCCACCGAGAAGUGCUUCACGGCGAGGUGAUCCUCCCAGUCGUUGGUGAUGCUCUUGUAGAAGGACGCGUACUCCUCCUUGCUGAUCUCCUCCGGCUUGCGCAGCCAGAUGGGCUUCUGCUUGUUGAUCUGCGCCCACUCGUGGCUCACCUCCUUCACCUUCUUCGUCUUCUUCUUGUCCUUGUUCUCGGAGUCGUCGUCGACCUCCUCGACCUCGCCCUCCUUCUUUUCUGCAGAAUCAUCGUCUUCGUCGUCGCUGAUCUCCUUCUCGGUGGUCUUCUCGGUCCAGAGGUAGAUGGGGUAGCUGAUGAACUCCGAGUGCUUCUUGACGAGGUCCUUGAGGCGGCGCUCCUCCAGGUACUCGAGCUGGUCGUCCUUGAGGAAGAGCGUGAUCUUGGUGCCGCGGCCGAGCCGCUCGCCCUCCGUGUCGAGGGUGACGGUGAAGGAGCCUCCCGCCUGCGACUCCCACACAUACUGCUCGUCGUCGUUGUGCUUGGUGGUGACCACCACUUUCUCGGCGAC
rnacentral:lncRNA from 1 species